rnacentral:tRNA from 1 species
GGCCUUAUCGUCUAUCGGUUAGGACGCUAGGUUUUCAUCCUGGAAAGCGGGGUUCGACUCCCCGUAAGGCCG